AUUGAACGCUGGCGGCAUGCUUUACACAUGCAAGUCGAACGGUAACAGGUUAAGCUGACGAGUGGCGAACGGGUGAGUAACGCAUCGGAACGUGCCCGAUCGUGGGGGAUAACGCAGCGAAAGCUGCGCUAAUACCGCAUAAGAUCCGAGGAUGAAAGCGGGGGACUUUAUAGCAAUAUGAGGCCUCGCGCGAUCGGAGCGGCCGAUGUCAGAUUAGGUAGUUGGCAGGGUAAAGGCCCACCAAGCCGACGAUCUGUAGCUGGUCUGAGAGGACGACCAGCCACACUGGGACUGAGACACGGCCCAGACUCCUACGGGAGGCAGCAGUGGGGAAUUUUGGACAAUGGGCGCAAGCCUGAUCCAGCAAUGCCGCGUGCAGGAAGAAGGCCUUCGGGUUGUAAACUGCUUUUGUACGGAGCGAAAAGGUCUUCUCUAAUAAAGAAGGCUGAUGACGGUACCGUAAGAAUAAGCACCGGCUAACUACGUGCCAGCCGCCGCAGUAACAC
rnacentral:rRNA from 1 species